rnacentral:rRNA from 1 species
AUUGAACGCUGGCGGCAUGCUUUACACAUGCAAGUCGAACGGUAACAGGGUGCUUGCACCGCUGACGAGUGGCGAACGGGUGAGUAAUGCGUCGGAACGCACCGAGUAAUGGGGGAUAACGCAGCGAAAGCUGUGCUAAUACCGCAUACGCUCUGAGGAGGAAAGCGGGGGACCUUUGGGCCUCGCGUUAUUCGAGCGGCCGACGUCUGAUUAGCUAGUAGGUGAGGUAAGAGCUCACCUAGGCGACGAUCAGUAGCGGGUCUGAGAGGAUGAUCCGCCACACUGGGACUGAGACACGGCCCAGACUCCUACGGGAGGCAGCAGUGGGGAAUUUUGGACAAUGGGCGCAAGCCUGAUCCAGCCAUGCCGCGUGUCUGAAGAAGGCCUUCGGGUUGUAAAGCUCUUUCAGACGGAAAGAAAACGCUCUCUCUAAUACAGGGGGCGGAUGACGGUACUGUCAGAAGAAGCACCGGCUAACUACGUGCCAGCAGCCGCCGUAAUAC